UUUACUAUGUCCAAAAUGUUUCAUAUGAAAAAAGCAUGCUCAAUACACUAAUUUCAACGGAGGACGGUGAUCGAGACCACCGAUCGAUAUCUUGACUAGUACAGAAAUCGAAAAAACUUAGAGGUAUAUAGUAAAAAUAGGUCACUAUCACUACCAUGAGAAUGGUUAUAGACCUAAUAAAGCCUCAGGUAGUGAAAUAGAGGUCAAUUACGUUGACACCGAAUUUCAACAUCUUCCUUUGAAAUUGACAUUGCUCCAGAAACCCUAACAAUUCUAACCUACAUAACAACAUCAACACAGUCCAAGCC
rnacentral:lncRNA from 1 species